CAGGGAAGCUUCGAAAAAAAUCGCUGAACCCAGCGAACUUUCGUUUACCGGCGGGCGUUCACCAAAAUACGGUUUCUUAUUUACAUAGUAAACAUGAUACGGAACUGUAAUAAAUAUAUGUUGGUUGGACGACUUAAUUUAUCUGCUUUACUCCUGACCCGAGUUAAUCCGGUUGCAGGCGUAGGAUGAAAUCACCGCGUUGUGGAUUGUUAGAGCUGGAAGCAAUCUUAAAGGACAUCCAGUCCAACCUUUGUAACCAAACCAGAUUCUGAUGCAUCCGCCUUAUACUCCAGGCCCUGCCUCCCAUCACCUUACUUGGAGAAUAAGUAAAUGACCACAUACCUUAAUUCACGGAAGAGUGGCCCAUGAAGCCUAAAGGAGCUAUUCCCUGAAUAUGGAUGGACAAAUAGAUCCAUGUGGCACACAGGUUGACUCUAGCUGACAAGUGUGUGUCACUCAGACUCCCUUCAAGCCAGGGCUUGCUGCCCAACUGCAAGGAGAUGUGUUUAGCUGAUAGCUUCUAGCUUUAG